UACGGAGGAUGCGAGCGUUAUCCGGAUUUAUUGGGUCUAAAGGGUGCGUAGGCGGGAUGCCAAGUCAGCGGUAAAAAUGCGGUGCUCAACGCCGUCGAGCCGUUGAAACUGGCGUUCUUGAGUGGGCGAGAAGUAUGCGGAAUGCGUGGUGUAGCGGUGAAAUGCAUAGAUAUCACGCAGAACUCCGAUUGCGAAGGCAGCGUACCGGCGCCCUACUGACGCUGAGGCACGAAAGCGUGGGUAUCGAACAGG
rnacentral:rRNA from 1 species